rnacentral:rRNA from 1 species
UACGGAGAGUGCAAGCAUUAAUCGGAAUUAUUGGGCGUAAAGGGCGCGUAGGCUGAAAAAUAAGUCAGAUGUGAAAUUCCGAAGCUCAACUUCGGAGCUGCAUUUGAAACUGUAUUUCUAGAGGAUUGACGGAGAAAACGGAAUUCCACGUGUAGCGGUGAAAUGCGUAGAUAUGUGGAAGAACACCAGUGGCGAAAGCGGUUUUCUAGUUAAUACCUGACGCUGAGGCGCGAGAGCAAGGGGAGCAAACAGG